AGCUCAACUGGUUAGAGCACUCGACUGUCACUCGAGAGGUUGCGGGUUCGAGCCCCGUCGCUU
rnacentral:tRNA from 1 species